AGGCAGCGCGCAUGUGUCUCCUCCCGCCCCUGCUCCCUCCUCUGUGUGGCUCACCCCUCCUCCGCCGCCUGCUCUCUCCUCCUCCUUCCCCCAAGCUGUCAGCCCAGCCGCGAGCUUUCCGCCGCCCCCGCUGCGUCGCUUCGCGCGGCCUGCCAAUCCCGGCUGUGGGGGGCUGGACGUCUGCACGCGGGUUCUCUUUCAUUUACACGCCGAACGCCCCUGGGUUUCUUUUUGAUGCCCAGGGUGUUUUAGGGAAGAAGAGAUUUUAGGGGGUCUGAGAAGACGGCGGCGAGGCAAUAGAUGGGAUUUGAAAUACGGUGAGAUCACGGGAGGUGAGAGAUUAUCUCAACUAUGCGAACUGUAUCACGCUUUUUGACUCAGCGAUCCCCAAGACAAUUUUUCACUGUAGGGGUAAGCCAACAGACGACCCCUGGCAUCUGGGCGCCGACAAUGAGCCAACGCUGGUCUGGGUAGUCUACAUUAUCACAUGAAUCCAGGAGCCCCAUGAGAGGAAAAAUAAGAAACUUGUCUAAAGCAAGCCACGCAACUCAGAGGUCAAGCUGGAUUUGAAUUUGUAGCCCUCCACUCUAGGGCUGCCCUCCUUCCUGUAUAGUCCCUGGCAGAACCCCAGAGCAAACAGAAGUUGGGCAGAAGGGUCCCUGAGCGUUUCUGAAGUAUGAAACCAGACACAGACCGGAAGAACUUUCAAAAUGAGGGGAGUUUUUAUGGUGGACGGAAUCCACUGUCAUAAGAGAGAGGGGCUGGCUAUUAACUGACUAAGCCCCGGAAUUGAGUGGUGCAAGGAACGGUUAGAAGUUUGCGCCUGCGCACAGUGCCUAUUAAACAAAGAAACCACAAAACCUGGGCAUCAAGAUUCUCCAAGAAGCUGCCUUCUAGAGCCAUUCUCUGAAUAACGUUGGAGGAGCUGCCUGUGAAUGAACAAGUUAUAGAAGCUUUAAUGUUUGUCCUAUUUUAUAAAUAUAAUUGUUCUCAUGAUAAAAUGCCAAUUUUAUGUACUUUUUUAUUUUUGAACAUUUUUAAAAAGUAUGUAUAUGAGAUAUAAUAGCAGAAAGACAUGUUAAUGUAAAACUUAUCAGUCAUAAUAGCAUUUUGAAAGAACCUGUGAGGAAGAUUUAGCUUGUACCCCUCAGGGCAAGAAGCUGAUUGUAAUGAAAAGAAUUUCUUUGACUUAAUGAGGUUGACAUUCCCUUAAAUAAGUUAUAAGGAAAAAAAUGUCAGAAGGACCAAUACCUGACCUUCUGUUUCCUGUGUGGUAGUUUCUUAAGUUUCUGGAAAGUAAGAACUGAAGGGUACCAGAUAACAGGACUUGAAUUUGUAAAGAAAUGUAUUUUUAAGCAACUGGCUUUUUAAAGAUAUGAAUGUAAAUAUUAGAUCAUAGAUAAUAUUAGAUAAUAGCUUGACUUGGUUAGGUUCCCCUAAAUAUUUUACCUACUCAUUAUAUUAUGUUAUUGGUUUAUAAUAUAAUGCAUAUUAUGCUAUUGGUCUGUAUUAUAAUGAUUACAUGACAUAUUUAAAGGCACCAAUUAUUUCUUUAUAAAUAAAUAGUUUAUCUUACGUGGAUAAAAUUGAA